rnacentral:sRNA from 1 species
UUCAAAAGGUGACCGACUAGUUCGCAACGUCCUGUUGCAACGUCGGCAUUAGCACAUCCAUGUGCG